rnacentral:rRNA from 1 species
AUUGAACGCUGGCGGCAGGCCUAACACAUGCAAGUCGAGCGGAUGAAGAGAGCUUGCUCUCUGAUUUAGCGGCGGACGGGUGAGUAAUGCCUAGGAAUCUGCCUGGUAGUGGGGGAUAACGUUCCGAAAGGAACGCUAAUACCGCAUACGUCCUACGGGAGAAAGCAGGGGACCUUCGGGCCUUGCGCUAUCAGAUGAGCCUAGGUCGGAUUAGCUAGUUGGUGAGGUAAUGGCUCACCAAGGCGACGAUCCGUAACUGGUCUGAGAGGAUGAUCAGGCACACUGGAACUGAGACACGGUCCAGACUCCUACGGGAGGCAGCAGUGGGGAAUAUUGGAAAAUGGGCGAAAGCCUGAUCCAGCCAUGCCGCGUGUGUGAAGAAGGUCUUCGGAUUGUAAAGCACUUUAAGUUGGGAGGAAGGGCAGUAAGUUAAUACCUUGCUGUUUUGACGUUACCGACAGAAUAAGCACCGGCUAACUUCGUGCCAGCCGCCGCCGUAACAC